rfam:Camelus ferus unplaced genomic scaffold scaffold383, whole genome shotgun sequence.
GAGAGUAUAGCUCAGUGGUAGAGUACGUGCUCAGCAUGCACAAGGUCCUGGGUUCAAUCCCCAGUACUUCCA